UUUGUGCAUCUAAAAAUGAAGAGUUGCGCGAAAGAGUUAAGAAUAUGGAAAACUUGUUAGCAAAUGUGAUGACUUUAAUUCAAAAUCGAUUUUCUGGAGCAGAUGUUAAUGAUAUAAUACAAGCUGCAAGACAGGUUCCUGAUGCUACUAGUGCUCAAAACCAUUUGAAUUCACUUAGUCCAAACAACAACGAAAAUAAU